GGCCAAAUGGGAGAGUGGUCUAAUCCGCCACGUUCAGGUUGUUUCUUCGAAUCAACAUCGUGGUGUCGCAAGACGCGUGCGUUCGAACCGCACUUUGGUCA